GGAACACACAAAAAAGAGAUAUUAAGCAAGACAUUCAUGCUGCGCUUUUCCACAAAAUGAACCGUGAACAGUAAAUAAAGAUUAAAUACCAAAAAAUAAUGGAAACAUCUUGACUUUUACACUAUAUUCCAAGUCUUAAGAAAUUAAUACCAUCAGCUUUAGCUAUCAAAUCUCAUUCAGAUGGAUGAUUUCAUAUUUAUAACUGGAGUGAGUCAUAAUGGUCAACUAAGCGAUUAGUCAUCCAGUCCUUCAGCAUCCAAGGUUUUUUACUUGUUUAUCUACAUCUUUUUCUAUUUUUAAUUUUAUAUACUUUAAUUUAACAGACUUCAUUGGUUUUUCUCUUUUUUCUCUUUUUUUUUUUUUUUUGGUUCAUUACAGGUUAAAUGUGUGAAAAUGUAUGCAAAAAUUUUUUAUGUAUAUAUAUAUGUGUGUGUGUGUGCGUGUGUGUGUGUGUGUGUGUGUGUGUGUAUGCAUUUUUAUUUUUUAUUUUUUUACACAUCUGAAUUAUCCAAUCCAGAUGCAAAGAUAAAUAGUAAUGUAUUUGAGUGGGAUCCAUUAAACUGGAAUAGUUGAAUCAUAACAUAGGCAAAUUUUCACAUGUGGGUUUUUUUGUGUUUAAGAAACCCAACCAUAUCCCUCUCCGGCACAUGCUGUCUCCUUUACAGGCGUUGCUUCUUCACGUGAUAUUUUUCCCCGUCUCUCCCUCCCUGCUUGACCCAGUAACCCAAACAGAAACAAGGAAUAUGCUCUACCACUGCCCAUGUCCUGAUGCUGUUGAUUAACCUACUUAAAUUAUCCCAUCUCUCCGGUGUCUCGCCUGGACACAGUACAGCAACUAAUUGGAAACACACUGCUUAGAUACUUCUUAGAACUGUUCUAUUUUAACUCCGCACCAGAAGGCUUUUGAAACGAAUUGCAAAUGGAAGAAAAAGACAUCUUACAAAGUGCAAAAGAAGUUUUGCAGACUAUUCCUCGCCUGACUCACCCUCACACAGAGCGUCUGGCCUCAUGUGAGCCCACGGUCACAUGUUCGCACCUCCCAGGUGUUUGGAUUGGAGCGAAAAGAGCAGGACGGUUCGGGCUGUGGGCGGGAAGCGCUGGAGAGGAUGAGAAGAAGAUGUGGGCAUGGGUGAAAGAGUGCUGUUGUAAACAGACUUCUUUUGUUGUUGCUGUGAUUCAGAGAGCUUCCUCCCUACAGCUGCCGGCCACUGCAGGCCCUGUGCUGUGUUUAGUGGGUUUGUUUGGCUGUAGAUGUGAAGCUCUGUUACCAAUUAUCAUGAUUCCCUGAGUCACUUGUGAGACAGUCGCCCUUAAAGAAAUGCCUUAUUUGGCCUGGUCUGAGUGAGUUUGAGUGAAAAGGCGUGCAGAGGACAAGCAUAGUGUGGGACAAGAUGGUCUCUGAAAAAUAUAGACCACUGAACUCGCAGGAAAUUUAGAAGCCAUGUGAAUAUUUAGAUUAAUUGAUUUUACAUUUCUAUUAUUUGUUAACUUGUAUUUCCAUAGUAUGUACCCAGCUAACAAAAAUGUUUUCCUAAAACUUCAUUUUACCAAUUUGUAAACACUAUGCGAAUGUUACGUGUUUUCUGUCAUUUCAUCUAUGUUGAGAAUAUGUGUGUUAUGGUUGAAAGUGCCUUUGCUCUUAAGAAGCAGCUUACAUUUGUAGAAUGCUUCUGCAAAUCAACAUCGUGUCUUGAAGAUUAGAGCAUUUUUCAGUUAGCAUGUGCAUGUCUGCAAGUAUGUAGGUCAAGACUGAGCCGUAUAAGGCACUGAUGUUGUGCUGGGCUGUAGAAGGGGAUCUGACAGGUUGUCGGCUGCAGGUAACUGGACAGAAGGAGGAGACAGAUUCUUAUCUAAUGGAUAAUCGGGUUAAUGUGCUUGUGGCAGUACUGACCUUCUAGUAUACUGUAUGUGACUAACACUGUCUAGUUCCAAGGGUAAAAGUGACCUUGGAGAGAUUAAAAUAGGUGUUUGGAUUAUGGGGAGCUAGAGGGUCUGGAGACCCCCUUGUUCCAGUUAUAGCCCUUUAAGUUAUCUUUAAAAUGCAGGCCAAGGGGGGCUGCUCUAUUCAGAGAGUCAUUUAGAAUUAUUACAGCAGGAGGUCGACACCACCAUGAUGCUGGACUGUGAUCAGAGGUUUUGUAGUUAACCACAAAGUUGACAGUGUUGGGGGUAAUGCAUUACAAGUAACUUGAGUUACAUAGUUAGAUUACUUUUUUCAAGUAACUAAGUAAAGUAGUGCCACGAGAAUAUCUGAGUCACUUUUUCAAAUACGUAAUGUAAGUUACCUUGUUUUCCCAUUUUUUUACUGACACCUCUUCUGUACCUGUAUUGAGAAAAAUUUGGACUGAGGUGCAGAUUAAAGGGCUUUUACAGUUGCCGAAAAUAUAACUUUGGGGUUUUCGUUAUUGAUAAUAAAUUAGAAAAAAGUAGCA
ensembl:lncRNA